rnacentral:rRNA from 1 species
GCCUACGGGACGCAGCAGUGAGGAAUAUUGGUCAAUGGGCUUACGCCUGAACCAGCCAAGUCGCGUGAGGGAAGACUGCCCUAUGGGUUGUAAACCUCUUUUGUCAGGGAGCAACGCCGGCUACGUGUAGCCGGACUGAGAGUACCCGAAGAAAAAGCAUCGGCUAACUCCGUGCCAGCAGCCGCGGUAAUACGGAGGAUGCGAGCGUUAUCCGGAUUUAUUGGGUUUAUAGGGUGCGUAGGCGGAAUGCCAAGUCAGCGGUAAAAUCGCGGGGCUCAACCUCGCUCCGCCGGUGAAACUGGCGU